UGAGUACAAAGCCACAUUUCACCCGCUUGGCGAUUCUUCCUGGCACCAGCCCUGGCGCUCCCUCAAGGCCAGCCCUUCUCCACAUCCAGUGCCUUUCAUAGGAUGUUGCCUCCUGGAGCCAGGCAGAGAAGAGGUGCCUGGAAAUGCAGCUACCAGCUUCUCUUCUUCAUGGCAGGAAGACCUCAGAAGGGGAUUUCAAUGAUGUCCAGUUUAUAACCCACUAUUCAGCACAUCUAUCCUAUGACAACGGGAAACAUUUAUGCUAAUGACAUUAAUGGUAUAUUGAACUUUAUAGACAUUCUGCUUGUUCACUGGGCACCAAGGCCUAGGUUCCUCUUAAAUCACAAGAACUGCCUGACAAUGCACCUUCAAUCUGGUCUGAACAAUGAAUGUUAUGACUGAA